rnacentral:rRNA from 1 species
UACGUAGGGUGCAAGCGUUAAUCGGAAUUACUGGGCGUAAAGGGCUCGUAGGUGGCCAACUAAGUCAGACGUGAAAUCCCUCGGCUUAACCGGGGAACUGCGUCUGAUACUGGAUGGCUAGAGUUUGGGAGAGGGAUGCGGAAUUCCAGGUGUAGCGGUGAAAUGCGUAGAUAUCUGGAGGAACACCGGUGGCGAAGGCGGCAUCCUGGACCAACACUGACGCUGAGGAGCGAAAGCCAGGGGAGCAAACGGG